GAAAUAUCUUAAAGCAAACAGCAUAUCAUAGGAAGGAGCUCAGCAACUUCAGCUUUUAACUUCCAAGGGCAUCAUCAGGAGAUGAAGGAUCUAUCCCAUGAUGAGCACCUUCACUAUAUCCAGAGAGGAAGGAUUCCAAAGAAACUAUUGCAUAUCGGGGCUUGGCAUUGAGAAGGCUGCCUGGACUAAUCUAUGCCUUCUUUCUCAGACCCUGCACUGCCAACACAAGGAACUCACAAAAGGCAUGGCCACAGAAUACGCCGCUCUUUUGUUCCCAGAACAGCACCUUCCAGGGGUCAAAGGAAAACAAGUCUGAUAAGCUGAUGCCAAGUCAUACCUCACUGCAGAGAUGGCUGACUGAAAGGGAUAAAGUCAAAGAUCUAUUUGAAGCUUGGAUCAUCCAGGACAUCUUCCACAGCCAAUUUCUCAAAUAUAAUGUAGGAAGAGAAAAACCACACUGCCUGGAUGCAGCUUAAGAGACUGAAAGGAUUUCCGGGACUGUUUGCUGAGAAGAAUACUUAGCUGAAGGCUCAGUCAUUGGUUGAUAUGAACCAACUUUUAAAUGUGAAUAAACAAAUUUUUAUCCAUUUCUUCUCCUGAAAU
rnacentral:lncRNA from 1 species